UGCCAGCCGCCCCACCCGAACCGAACCGAACCAAGCCCGGAUUCCAGCCCGGUCUCACCAGCUCCUCUCCCGUUUGAUUUCCGCCGCCCACCUGAUAACCCGCGGCCGGGCACGCCAGCGAGGCGAAGCCGUGUCCGGUAAGGAAUCGGUUGGUUCCCCCUCCCGCACCGCCUCUGCGCCGGCUACAAAAGGCGCCACAGGCGCGCCCCCUCCACCCCGCGCUCUGCCCUCCUCUCUUCUCCUUUGGAGCUUUCGUUCCGGCCGGGCCUCCGCCCUCGAUCGCCCGAGCCGCCUCCUCGCGCCUCGGCGACUGUUUCCACCCCCUUGUCCAUCAAUUCCCGAUUCGUUUCGAAUCGCGUUUGAUUUGAUUUCACUCGCCGUCGCCGUUGCCUUGCUGUGCUCGCAGGGUAUUCCAAUCCGGCGAGCCCGGGAAGCGAUCGAUCGGGGAUUCAUUCAUUUUGGUUUGCGAGUCUAUCUCAGAGUCGCGUGUCCGCUUCUGUUUGCAACCGUGGAUCCUGUGUUCCUCGUAUUCGUGUCCGCAUCCGCGCGCGUUGGUUGCAGGAUCGUCGAGCCUGGUUUUUGGAAUUGGAGCUCUGAUUGUGGAGCCGGAGGCCGAGGCAAGGUCAGUUUCCCGUGCUCGUUCAGACCGCUUCCUCUGCGUUCAUCCGUGAUUCCAGAUUUCAAAAGUUUGCGAUCUUCUGGUUCCCCGACCGCUGUGGUUUAUUCCGUAUCAUCCGUUGGUACGAGGUGUAUUAAUUCGAGGCCCUCGUGGAGGAUUCUUGUUGUACCGGCUGAUCUCGGUUUUGUUAUGUCUUGUGCUCUCACCCUAGAUGCAGAGGAAUCCAGAGGGCGCGCUAGUUCUUCAGAGGUGGAGGUUUGAUUUCUUUUCAUGGUUAUUCUGAUUGAUGAUUGGUUACGGUUGAGCGGUUAUUCUGAUUGGUUACGGAUCAGCGGUUAUCCUGAUAGGUUCAGAUCUUCUCGUGUGAUGAAGCCUAGGAUUUCUUACCAACCGGAACCAGCGAUCUGCGUUUGGAUAAAUGAUUAAAUCCCUCCCAACUUCAGUUUCCUGGUCUGCACAGUAGUCAACGGCAACAAUUCUGAUCUGAAUUCUUUGCUUCUCCAGAAAUUAUAAAUUGGAUUACACGGCAUAGCGGGAGCAACAUCUGCGUUUGGAUGAUUAUUAUUACCCCCUCUAUUUACUUCCUUCAUCUACACAGUUCAAUCUUAGUCGCUUCUGAUUUAGAUUUGUUGAUGGUUGUCCAGAAAUUGGGAUUAUACGGCUUACUGGGAGCGACUUGUCAUUCUUCCUCACCUGUGUUUGGAUGAUCAUUCUCUCUCUGUUUAUUUCCUUUCCUCCAUGGUUCAAUUAGUCUCCACACAAUUCUGAUUUGGAUUUGUUGCUCGUACUCCAGAAAAUUGGAAUUAUACGGCUUAGCGAGUGGUCCUCUUUUCCCUCGGCAUGGCGGUUCCUUUUCUGUGGCUCAACAGUAUUUCUUACUCAAUAAUAUAAUUAUUAUUAGAACACACCAGACAAGUUUUCUCUGCCUUAGUUUGUCAAUUCUUAGCUCUUGCAGACAUCGUCUUGGAAGGGAUAUAAUUGGAACCGGUGCUGUCUACCUGACCUUCCCAGACAAGACUUUCUUAUAACUUUUACCUCCUCAUUUGAAGCAUGCUUUAGCUGAGCCUCGGCAUGCGUUGCAGAUUCAUCUGCAAAGGCGCAAGAAUGGAGCUUCAAACUAAUGGCACAUCCUACAACAGAAAGACUCUUCUCCAUUUUUAACUCUUGCCUCUUAUUUUUAUUUCACGUAGCUACUUGUUCAUGCCUUUGAUUUAGGCUUUUUUGCUUCUGCCCCCCUGUGAUUGCAGAUUUAUUUUAGCCCAGAGCGUGUUGGUACUUGGUAGCGAGUCGAAAUCUGUUAAAAUUGGUUGGUUUGCAAUCUACCUCUAUGCGGUUCGAUUUGUUAUAUGUACUCUUAUCCUGUCGGCUGCAGGCCAUAUUUAGGAAGUUUGUGCUUAUGAGCAAAAUCUCUGUACAGUGAGUCAGGUCAGUGUUCUAUCAACGGUUUGUUUGGUUUAGUUCUGUUCCUCCACACAUUGGUUGCAGGAUUGGAUCUGGAAUGUGGAGAUCCCUGUGGUGUUGUAUGUUAAGGGGAUUUGAGCAGGUCAGGUUUGAAUGGCUAUCGCCUGUGUGGUCUCCUGGUUCUCAUCACAUGUUUCUUCAUCAUCAGCUAAUAUGAGGUGGAUUAGAGAGGUCCUGGUGGAUUCUUAUUGUAGCAGCUGAUCGCGUUUUUGGUGUGUGUUUGUGCUCCUUUGCUUGCAGCAGAUGCAGGAGUGUAGUAGUUCUGCACAGAUGAAUCAUAGGGGAGAUUUGGUUUCUGUUCGUCAUUUUGAUUGAUUGGAUAAUGAAGCUUUGGAUCUCUUACCAACCUGGAACUUGUGAUCUGCGUUUGGAUAAUAUAUAUUCCGUCCCAAUUCAAUUUAUUUGGUUUGCACAAUACAACUUAGCCCUUGGUAGUUCUGAUCUGUAUUCGUUUGUGGUUUUCCAGAAAUUGAGGUUAAUUGGUGGAGAUUUGGUUUCUGUUCAUCAUUUUGAUUGGUUGGAUAAUGAAGUUUUGGAACCUGGAACUUGCGAUCAGCGUUUGGAUAAUGAAUUCUGUCCCGAUUCAAUUUAUUUGGUUUGCGCAGUACAAUUUAGUCCUGGCAGUUCUGAUCUGUAUUCGUUUGUGGUUUUCAGAAAUUGGGCUUCGUAAGGUUUAGGAGGAGCAACCUAUCUUCUUGCUGAUCUGCAUUUGGAUGAUUACGAACCCCUCUAUUUAAUUCCUUCUCAAUUCAAUUUUAGUCUCCGACAAUUCUGAUUUGGAUCUGUUGCUGGUUGUCCAGAAAUUGGGAUUAUAUGGCUUAGCGGGAGCGACCUAUCUUCUUGCUGACCUGCACUUGGAUGAUCAUUACUCUCUCUGUUUAAGUUCUUCUCCAUAGCUCAAGUAGUUGCCCGACGAUUCUGAUUUAGAAUUUUUGCUGGUUCUCCAGAAAUUGGAAUUAUAUGGCUUAGCGGGUGGUCCUAUCUUUCCAAGGCAUGGCGGUUCUUUCUGUGGCCCAACAUAUCCGACCUUUUAUCCUCCCUUGAUAAUUGAACUUUCAAAUGUUAGUUUCUUUGCCUUGAUUGGUAAUUCUCAGCUCUUGCAGAUGCUGACUUGGGAGCGAAAUAAUUGGAACCAGUGUUGUCUACCUGACUUUCCAGCCGAGACAGGCUUACUUACCCUUUACCUCAACAUUUGAUGCUUGCUUUAGCUGAGCCUAGUUUUCCUCUUAUAACUUAUAGAAAGGUAUCUCCCUCGUUGCAGGCCAUAGUUGAUGACUCGUCCAACCUGAUGCUGACUUGAAUCCGUUUGCAGUUCUUCUAAAUCUAUUAUUUUCUCAAUUCAUCAGAACUUAGACAGCCUUCAAAAUUAUCUUACCAGACAAUAUUUUGAAUUCAGAAUUAUCUGCCAAGGUUCAACAAUGGAGAUUCAAACUAAUGGAACAUCCUACAAUGAAAAAGAGUGCUCCAGUUUUAACUCACCUCUUAUGCUACUUGUUCAUGUCUUUGAUUUAGGUUUUUCCUUCUGCCCUCCCUUUGGUUGCAGAUUAAGCCCAAACCAUGCUGGUAGUGAGUUGGAAUCUGUUAAAAUCGUUUGGUUUGCGAUCUAUCUCUCUCUCUCUGGAUCGAUUUGUUGUUUGUACUCUUGAUCCCUGGUCUUCUGCGUGUAUCAGUUGCAGGAUAUAUUUAGGAAGUCUGGGCCUAUGUGCAGGAUAUAUUUGGAUAUGUUGGUGGUUCUCCAGAAAUUGGAAUUAUAUGGCGUAGCGGGAGCGACGCAUCUUGCUGCUCUGUGUUUGGAUAAUUAUCACUUCCUCUGUUUUACUCUUUCAUCUCCACUGUUCUGUUUUGGUUUCCCACAAUUCUGAUUUAAACUAUUUCUUGGUGGCUCUCCAGAAAUUGGAAUAAUAUGGCUUAGAAGGCGUCCUAUUUUUCCUCGGCAUGGCGGUUCCUUCUGUGGCUAAAAACUUUCUCAACCUUUUUUACUCUAUAAUUGAACUCUCUAGACAUUAGGUUUUCUUUGCCUUAGUAAUUAUCAGCUCUUGCAGAUACUGACUUGGAAAGGAUAUAACUGCAGUUUGGAACCUGCGUUGUUGUCCUCCAUCAUCCAUACCUGACCCUAGACAGGCUUUACUUGUUCCCACUCAAUCAUCCAUGCUUUAGCUAUUUAUAAGAAGCAUUUCCCCUAACAAUUUUUUUUAUAGAAACGGUGUCUUGCUCACUGCAGGUUGUAGUUGACAAACUCCUGUCCAGCCUGAUGAUGAAUCCGUCUACUGAUCUUCGAAAUCUACAGUGUCGUUUCAAUUCAUUGCAACUUACAUAACCUAUAAAUUAUCUUACUAGACAAUUUUUAAAUACAGAUUCAUAUGCAGCACGAAUAUAUAAGAUGAUCUAGAGCCUACUAAUGGCACAUCCUACAACCGAAAAAGACUCUUACCUUCCUUUUUUUUAAUUUCAUUUAGUUACUUGGCCAUCUCUCUGACAUAGGUUUUUGCCCCUGCCCUUCCUAUGGUUGCAGAUUUUUCUUUAGCCCAGGCCAUGUGGGCAAUGACUAAACUCUUGAUCCCUGUUUUAUUGGUCUUCUGCGUGUGUGGGUUGGCAAUAUAUAAUUUUUAUUAGGAGUUUGGGCCCAAACCUUUGCUCUGUACAUGGAGUCAGGUCAGUGUCUCGUAGACGGUCUGUUUGUUUCAUUUGUUAUCGCCGCCUCUACAAUUUGGCUUGCAGGACUGGAUCUUGAUCUGGUCUGGAAGUAAAGCUCCUUGUGGGUUGUGAACGUAUGGUGGAGGGGACUCGAGGCAGGUCAGUUUCAUGUUUCGUCACAUUGGUUUACUGGAUUCCUCAUCUGUGCUUGGUGACGUCAGAUUUGAGUGGCUAUACAUUAAGUUCUUCGAUUCGUUCGGAAUCUUCUUCAACCACAAAAACUUACACCUGGACUCUAUGCCUGUUUCAACUGAUUUACCAGAUUUCACUAUGGUCUGACUUUCCUUGAAGAACUUUUAAGUAUGCUGAUUAUAUUUGGGUUGAUUUGCAUUGUUGGAGGUUUUAUUGCAAGAUUGUAGAGUUGGAUAGUCAGUUAGCGCGGGGACUUGGUGUAGCAAAUGGACUUCCCUGAUGGUUUUGACCUCUGAUUACUGAUCCUGAAGCAUAAUGAUUUGGUCUUUGUGGUAGUUUUCAGUUUGAACUUGCAUUCAGUGGCCUCAUAUCUUUGGUGCAGCUUGGAGUUAGUAGUGUGCACAUCUGAUGAUUCUUUCAACUGUCCUGAAGCAUCUUACUUGGUUUCUGUUGUGCCAUCCUACUGGUUACGGUAUCUUAUUCAACUUGCAUGUGGUUUGGAUGGAAUAUGAUCUUAUCUUUUGCUCGAAUCAAGAAAAUGCUAGAAGUCUCAAACAAGGGUCCAAAAUGGAAAUAUCAGUUCGUACUCAGUUUGUAUAGCAGAUUAUCAAAGUUUGACUUGGCUAUUAAUUACCUGGUUACCAUACUGUUUCAUGAAGUUUGGUUUUGGUAUUUGGCUGCUUGUAUCUUUCAACUUGCAAAUUUGUCACCUAAUAGGAAGUAAAGAUCGCAUGUACAUGAGCUCUGAAUGCAGUAAAAAUGUUAAGCAUAUUAUAUGAAUAUAUGUGAAUUGGUCAUACGUGGAUUUGUCAGUCUACUAUUCUACAUACUCUUGUCCAUGAUUGUACUUGGUUUGUUUAUAUACGUUCUUUAGGUUCUUCUUAUGGCACAAAAUCAAAUUUUGGUGUGCACAUAUUGUUAACUUUGGUGAUAAAGAAAGAUCCCACCCUCGCACUUGUGUUGGUUUAACAGUAGUGGCCCCCUGUAGUUUGGUAAUAUUGAUGACUUGGUAUACAGGAAGAGGUUAGGAGUUAUUGCUAUAUACAUAUACUAAAACAAUGGAGAGUUGAAGGUUCUGAACUGGAGGCUUGAACAAAUAUUUUGCCCUGAACACUCCACUCAUGUCCACUGAAUAUGAUUCUGAUUUGUUGGUAUGGAGUUGAUUUUCAGUGAUGUUCUUCUCAUUGGUGCUUCUCCAGUGAGAUCUGGAUUCUUCCAUGCAUCUUCUCGGUUUGCUGGGGAACUUCCUAGCAAAACAGUCUGGCAUUUGAUGAUCCCUAAACACUCUGGCUAAUUUGAUGAUGAAUCCUGCUGAUUACUUUCGACAUAUGGAAAUUUGUUUCCUACUUCAUUCAUCCUGGAUUUAAAGAAACAGCGCUCACACAUCUCUAUGGUCCUCCAAUGGCUAAUUUUAUCUAUAUUAUGAAAUCUUCCAUUACAUACUUACUGAAUCUAUAAUAAUUUCAUAUGUUCACACAUCUUAUGGUCCUCAAUGGCUAUUGACCUUCUUUUCCGCCGAACAGCUAAUUUGUUAUGGAUUAUGGAAUCUUCAUACAUAUUGUUAAAUAUAUGAAUCUAUAAUUUCAUAGCGUUCACGCAUCUUAUGGUCCUCUAAUGGCUAAUUGACCUUCUUUUCUGGCGAACUGCUAAUUUGAUCUGGAUUCUAACCACAUAAUUCUCUUUAAUUACAUGUCCUUACUUUUCUGGCAACUUCCUAGUUUUAAUUUAGUUGGUAACUAGCAAAGUACUAAUUUGAUGAUUCCUGCCGACUACAUAUUCUUAAAUUGAAACUUAGACAGACCCAUUCUGUUUCAUACUACAUAAUACAAUCCUAUAUAGAUUUUAAAGACACGGAAGUAUCUGUUCACACAUCUUAUGGUCCUCUGACCCUAUAAUGGCAUAAAACUACGAAAGCUUUCUCUGUGCAGAAGAUUUGAAUCACGCUCAUUCCACUAGAUAAAUUAGUUACUCCCAUUCAGGUUCUGGAAUUUAUGGCAUUCUUUGUUUGUGCCCCGUCUGUCUUAUGAUCUUGUGAAAAUGUUGCGUGAAUAUUUAUUGCCAAUCAUGUGUCGUGCCAAGCCUUUGUUGAUUGCGUGGCUUGUAUGCUUAGCUGAAUAUAAUUGUUUGUAGUGUUUGCCGUUUUUUGUGUGUAAGUAGGAGUAGUUUAACACUGCCUUUGCCGGUCCCAAGCCCGGAUGAGAAACUGUGGAGGGAACUGCGGUUAGCUCCUCUGUAUCGGUUGCAUUAGAGAUGUCAUGGUCUCCAAAUAUUUUACAUUGAGUGGCAGUGAAUGAAGUGAGUAGGAAGUGGCACAGACUGUCUUAGCCACUAGAGAUCUGGGCAAGCUUUGGAAUGAAUCCUUAGAGAAUCUGGGCAGGUGUAAUUUGUUGUCAGUCAGACUGUCCUCCAGGAACUUGUUGAUUCCUAGCUGUACAAGGUCAGUGUUUUACUUGCGUUCCCAGAGGGAAGUGAGUGUAUAGGAAGCUUUGAAUGAAAGGCCUCAUGAACCAAAAUUCUCUAGAGAAGAGUUCAAGUUGUGGGUAACUGCUUCCCUAGAAAAUGCUGCGGUAUUGUAGGUAAUGGAAGCCUGACCUGCAGUAUGCAAGCAAGUCGGGAUGGUUCACGAGUUCCCUGAUAAUUUCAGUUUCAGUAAACUAGCAGGUAUGGUUUGCAUGACUGAUGCUUAUACUGCACUUGGAUGGCGUGGUAAUCAUAGCAGUGAUUCAGGAGCUGGGGAUUUUGACAGUGUAGUGUUAAAAACGUUCUUAUAUUAUGGGACGGAGGGAAUACAUUAUUACUAGUUGAGUUAAUGAUGUCUACAGUACUAGGUUAGUAGAGGAAUUGUAAUAAUCUGUAAAAGCAAGUUCAGGGUGUUUUGGGAAAUACAUUGCUGGUUGUCUUUGAGCA